rnacentral:piRNA from 1 species
UAAAAAUUCCCAGAGUUUUUG